GAUGAACGCUAGCGGCAGGCUUAACACAUGCAAGUCGAGCGGAGAUGAGGUGCUUGCACCUUAUCUUAGCGGCGGACGGGUGAGUAAUGCUUAGGAAUCUGCCUAUUAGUGGGGGACAACAUUCCGAAAGGAAUGCUAAUACCGCAUACGCCCUACGAGGGAAAGCAGGGGAUCUUCGGACCUUGCGCUAAUAGAUGAGCCUAAGUCGGAUUAGCUAGUUGGUGGGGUAAAGGCCUACCAAGGCGACGAUCUGUAGCGGGUCUGAGAGGAUGAUCCGCCACACUGGGACUGAGACACGGCCCAGACUCCUACGGGAGGCAGCAGUGGGGAAUAUUGGACAAUGGGCGGAAGCCUGAUCCAGCCAUGCCGCGUGUGUGAAGAAGGCCUUUUGGUUGUAAAGCACUUUAAGCGAGGAGGAGGCUACCUGGAUUAAUACUCUAGGAUAGUGGACGUUACUCGCAGAAUAAGCACCGGCUAACUCUGUGCCAGCCGCCGCCGUAACAC
rnacentral:rRNA from 1 species